rnacentral:rRNA from 1 species
UAGUCCACGCUGUAAACGAUGAGUGCUAGAAGCUGAGAGUUUAUCUCUUGGUUUUGCAGUUAACACAUUAAGCAUUCCGCCUGGGGAGUACGAUCGCAAGAUUGAAACUUAAAGGAAUUGACGGGGGCUCGCACAAGCGGUGGAGCAUGCGGUUUAAUUCGAUGCUACGCGAAAAACCUUACCAACCCUUGACAUGUAAAUUUUAAGCAGUGGAGACACAGCUUUUCAGUUCGGCUGGAUUUACACAGGUGUUGCAUGGCUGUCGUCAGCUCGUGUCGUGAGAUGUUGGGUUAAGUCCCGCAACGAGCGCAACCCUCACUCUUACUUGCCAGCAAGUCAGGUUGGGGACUGUAAGAGAACUGCCUGCCAUAAGCAGGAGGAAGGUGAGGACGAGGUCAAGUCAUCAUGGCCCUUAUGGGUUGGGCGUACACGCGUGCUACAAUGGUGUUUACAAUGGGAAGCAAGCUGGCAACAGUAAGCAAAUCCCCUAAAAACGUCUA